GGCAUGGAUUGCUUGAAAACGAAGUUUCUUUCCCUGAAUUUGAACGCGCGUCUUCUUCAUCGUAUUCUUCAGUGCUGAAGGGUCUGCCUCAAGCUCUGAUGAAGACGUCGACCUUAGCUGCAGGUGCAGCGAAGCGGGAGGCCAAAAACUAAAGCUUGGUCCGUCGACAAUGCUCUGCCUCAAUUUCUAGCUGAUUUCGUUGCCCCUCGAGUGGACAAAAUAAAUUUGAAAAAUCGCUCUGGGAAGCGACAGGAACUAUACAACGAGAUGAGAAUGGUCAAUGUCAGUUUCUGAGCUGCGAACGGGCAGAAAGCUAUACAACGAGAUGAAGAUGGUCAUUGUCGGUUUCUGAUCUGCGAACGGGCAGAAAGAUAUACAACGAGAUGAGGAUGGUCAUUGUCAUUUUCGGAGCUGCGAACAGGCAGAAAGCUAUACAACGAGAUGAGAUCGGUCAUUGUCAUUUUCUGAGCUGCGCACCAUUACACGCAAAUGAGAAGAUGUAUAAAGAUA